rnacentral:tRNA from 1 species
GGACGUGUAAUCUAGCCUGGAUAGGGUACCGGCCUUCGGAGCGGGGUGCCAAAACCGGCUGUCAGGGGUUCAAAUCCCUUCACGUCCA